CCCGGUCCGCUUAACAACAAGGGGGCUCCUCACCCUCCAGUGGCACCAAAAGGUAGAAUUGCAACAUCAGUGGCUGCACGUGAUGGAAAUGACGACACGCUCGUUUCGACAUCCACUUUCAUCCACGCAAAACGCAAGCCGGGCUUCUGAUGAUCUUCUGAAUCACUUUCUUCACCCAGGGAGCCUCUGGGUCCAGGCAAACCUCUUGGCCUGUCUUCUUCAGAGUGGCACUGCAUCACCAAGCAAGAAACAGAGAGGCAGUCAGAAUAUGUUGAUGAAGCCAACAAGUGACAAUAACAAAUCUCUUCACAGUGGGAGUUGGCAGGAAUCAGCUCCACCUUGGCAAUGUGGCGGCCAAUGGGUUUGCUCUCUGUCUGGAUGCAGCGGCAAUGGAGCUCUACACCCAGGCUCCUCAAACUCAUCCCUGUUAGGAGAAAGGAGUCACAUGUGGUCACAAAGUGCAACAGUGUGUGUUGUUAACUCUUGAUGCACUGAGGAAACGAGGACAGCAGAAUGUGUGCAGUAGUGGCAGUUUAAAUGCUCAAUACUGUUACAUUAAAUUAUUGAAUGACAAAAUAAUUUUACCUUCACUGAUGGCCAGGAAGGCCAGGAGCACCACGAUAGAGGUGACAAUGACUUUGCUGCUCUUCAUGUUGACUUUUACAAAUUCUGCAAUAAUUAAAACUAAAGGCUAAGAAUGUCCUUCAGAAAGCUAUCCGAUUAAGCCUGAAGUACUGUAUGAAAGUAAAGAAAGUGGGUUUUUUUCUCGUUCUUCUUUUGCUCAAUUGCGUCUCUCCUCUACUUUUCCUUUUCUUGGUUCAGCUGCUGUGUUGCUCUGCUGUUUGAAUCUAGCGCUGAAGAGGAGAGUUUCAGCUUUAUAGCUCCUGGAAAUGAGUCACUUCCCUAGAUCAGGAGUGUUGCGCAAGCUGGGACUGUCAGCAGCCAAGUGGGAAUUUACACUGUAAGGAAUUUGACUGACAUAUCUAAUUUAUCAAGAGAACUCAUGGGUCAACAUGUGUCACUGGAACAGGGGAGAUUCAGUUGGGGAAAACGCAGCGACUAAACAUCUGCAAUAAAUCCGUUCAUGUGA